rnacentral:rRNA from 1 species
GGUGAACGCUGGCGGCGUGCCUAAUACAUGCAAGUCGAACGAACAGACGAUGAGCUUUCUCCUCUGACGGUGGCGACGGACGGGUGAGUAACACGUGGAUAAGCUACCUCUAUUUCUGGGAUAACUACGGGAAACCAGUGCUGAUACCACAUAAUAUAUUCUACCGCAUGAAUCAAUAGUUAAUGACGCUUUUGCUGUCACUAUUAGACGGUUCCGCGCCGCAUUAGCUAGUUGGUAAGGUAACGGCCUACCAAGGCAACGAUGCGUAGCCGACCUGAGAGGGUGAUCGGCCACACUGGAACUGAGACACGGUCCAGACUCCUACGGGAGGCAGCAGUGGGGAAUAUUGCGCAAUGGGCGAAAGCUUGACGCAGCAAUGCCGCGUGAGUGAUGAAGGUCUUCGGGUCGUAAAGCUCUGUUAUUAGGGAAGAAAAGCUGUGUAAGAAAAUCUGGAUGUUUUGACGGUACCUAAACAGAAAGCAACGGCUAACUUCGUG